UGCGUAUUGUAUAAACCAAUCCCCAAUUGACAAACCAUUCUGCCUCUGUACUUCCUGCUUCCUUAUCCCAUAUAAGCCCUAGACCAGCAGAGAUCAGGGUCUGAUAUUUUGGGCAUGAUCCCAAUCAGUGCCCAUUGACAUAAAAUAAAUCUGCCUCCAAAUGUGUUGACCACUUUGGUCACUGGUCAUGACACUCAAGCAUACAGCAAGGACCUCUCCAAGUUCCAAUGGGGAGGCAUGCCCUCAAGACUUCUUGAAUCCUAUCAGAGGUCUGGAGAAAGAUUCCUGGCUUCCUGCUUGAGCAGCUCACAUUGGACCCCCAUGUCUGUCUGCCCACCUGCCUGCCUGCCUGAUUCUGGACUUGCUGCUGCAUCUCCAUCCUGAUGUGGGAGAAUGGAGAGAAAGUUAAAGACAGCAGACGGGACCAUACCUCUUUCUAUUCACAGUCAGAUCCCUCUGGAAGCAGUCUUUUCUAAAGGGUUCACUUAUUCACAAGCACUUAUUGAGCACCUAAUAUUUGCUGAGACAAGAACUAGAAGCACACAGAUCCCUUCCUGUUUCUCCAUCAUGCUAUGACACUGCAUGUGUGGCCUUGUUGGGAUACCAGCACCACGCUAUGUGGAUAUUUCAGUCAUCAGAAUUGUGAGUAAAAUGCACCUCUACUUUGUUAGGUACUCAGCCUCAAG
rnacentral:lncRNA from 1 species